rnacentral:rRNA from 1 species
AUACGUAGGGGGCGAGCGUUAUCCGGAAUUACUGGGGCGUAAAGGGUGCGUAGGUGGCCUGACAAGUCAGGGGUCAAAGGCAACGGCUCAACCGUUGUAAGCCCUUGAAACUGUCGGGCUUGAGUUCAGGAGAGGAAAGCGGAAUUCCUAGUGUAGCGGUGAAAUGCGUAGAUAUUAGGAGGAACACCAGUGGCGAAGGCGGCUUUCUGGACUGAUACUGACACUGAGGCACGAAAGCGUGGGGAGC